rnacentral:lncRNA from 1 species
CCGUGGGAAGGAAAAUUGAGUCCUUUCGCUAGCCUUCUGCACAUGUACAAGAAGUUGAUGUAUCAAAAGUUGCUACAGGUCUACUCCUUGAAAUUGAAGCUAAUAAAUCUGAAAGACCUACCUUUUGUUGUAGCUUUGGCUCUUGGAUGACUAUUUCCUUCACAAAGCGACCAAAAACACUUCCAGAUGGCUCGCGUGAAUUCCGAAUAAUCCCCAAGCUUGAGCUUUUUCCAGAGAAACUUCUACGUGAACCACCCCCCACUUUCAACCACAAAAAAUUUAAGAAAAGCGGAUGUGUACCUAGUGAUGCUUGAAAGUUCAUAAAGCUGAUAACAACAAUGUGAUAAGAAGAACAUUACAAAAUUUCAUAAAGUUGGUUAUUACAGGACGUUUCAGGGAAGCCAAAAUCAGGCUUUAGGUUUAUGAUCAGGAGCGGUAUGUGCCACAACUGUGCUUGGAAUUGCAUAGUACGACUCAUCGCAAUUCUAUGAUUGCUUUUAUUCUAGUUCUAUCAUCAUUUCUAUGUCUUUGCCAUAUCUUCUUUCUUGAUUUGGAUUGUCCUUCUUUCUAAUCACAAUAUGAUCAUGGAGUGCCUUAACUAAUGAACAUUGAACAUGACCCGGUUCACCAAUUGCUCAUAUUGUCUGGUGAUCCUUUAUCUUGACAUUAAAUAUUUGGAUUUAACUGUUUUGUUGCAUAUUGUGGGUGUGAUUGAUUUAAAUAGAUCAUGGUAUGCUUUUCAGUUUCUUUUUGAUUGAUGAAUGUGACAAGAACAAGAUUUUGCUUCUACGAGUUCUUGAAUCAAGGUGAAGGUUCGAUCGGAAGGAAUAUUGAGAUUAUUAACAUAUUUUCAUGCAUUUAUACAUGUGCAUUUACCCAUGGCUCAUACGGCAUUAUAUACGCGUAUAUAUGUAAAUAUAUGUAUAUGGGGUAUGAGAAAAGGUUACGGCGUUAUAUAUGCACCGCCACCUGAUCAGCUGGUAUACGUUGAUGAUUUGCCCACAAUGGCCGAGAUGAUAUAAUGGGACGCCCUCAGAGGCGUGAUGAUGUUAUGACGUUAUAUACAUGUAUAUAUAAGUACAUAUAUGUAUAUGGGAUAUGGGAAAGGUUAUGACGUUAUAUACGCACCACCACCUGAUCAGCUGGUAUACGAUGAUGAUGUUGCCCACAAUGGCUGAAAUGACAUGAUGGGAUGCCCUUAGAGGCUUUAUGAUCUUAUGUACGUACAGACCUAUGCAUUACAUGACAUUUACACGCAUAUGCAUGUAUGAUUUACAGAGUUAUCCAGACUUACAGGUUGAGUCUUCUAAUCCAUGUUUCUCACAUGCUCUUUAUAUAUUUAUUUACAUGCCUUACAUACUCAGUACAUUAUUCGUACUGACGUCCUUUUGUUGGGGACGUUGUAUUCAUGCAUGCAGGUAUAAACAAUCAGUUUGACGAGUCCUCAUAGUAGACGAUAUUGACAUUCAGCGAAGGAUCGGUAAGACUCCACCUCAUUCGGAGCAUAGCCGAGUCUAUGAGUCCUCGUGUCAGAGUUUUGCUACAGACUUAUGGGUAGGUCAUUACCUUGUCCCAUUUGAUGUCAAAUAAUCUUAGAGACUUUGUAGACAAAGGUUUAUUUUGUAUAGUAUGUCAGAGGCCUUGCUGGCUCAUAUGUAUUCAUAUUUUAAGAACGAUAGUUUAUUGAUAUAGUAUUGCCCACUUAUAAUUAUGCACUACGAGUUGUAACCAGGUUAGCCCAUGAUAGUUACAAAAGGA